ACUAUGUUUACCAUGUAUAUUAAAUAUCUGGCUGAAAGACGACAGGCUAUAUGUAAUCAUUUAGUCUUGGUGUUUUGUCGUCAUGGGGGAUUUUGAAUUGUCUGGCGUUUAUAGACAGUAAAUACUAAAGUAGGGCGCAUUGCCAGCUAAUGGGUUAAUAAGAGACAUUGGCAGAUAGGUUUGUUAACCCAUUUACGGACAGUACUCUACCACUGACAAGUAAAAUCGUACACAGUGUAAAAUUGUCUGGCGUUGGACAGAGUUAAUACUAAGGUUGGGUGUAUUGCCAGCUAAUGGGUUUAUAAUAGACCUUCUUAAUGCUGUUUAUCCACUUUUAACCCAAUGGCCUCUGAUUUUUACUUCGAGAAAAUGUUUGUUACCAAAUAAUUUUAUAUGAAUAUGCUUCAUCAUCUGUAAUGGAAAGAAAUUUUCUCGAAAUUAUAUAUUUGUCGUGAGGAAUCCUGUGUAAUGUGCUUCGGAGUUGUUUUGGAUUGGACAAUUUGCUGUACAUGUUAUGGAUUUCAGUGCUGUAUUAAUUUAUCACUGGACAGAUAUGAUUUAUGAAACAUCUGCAUAUAUGGGGCAAAGAAAAGACAGAAAUUUGUUUACCAAAAAGUAAAAAUUCCAGAUGCAGCACAUUACAUCUAAGUUGAUCUAACAAGAAUAGUCAACAAAUGACAUGACGGCAAUGAUUUAAAGACAUGUAUCAUUCUGAAUUCCAAACUAUUCUAUUUCUGAUAGCAUACAGUAUUUCUAUUGAUGUUUAGAACUUCAAAUUCAUUAUGGUUGGUCACAAAAAUUCAGUGUUGACAAUAAUCCACUCCAAUGUGUAUUGGCUUGUGAACUGGAAGUGGUUUUCCGAUACACUUUUCACUGUGAAACCGAGUGUUGUAAUCUCAAUUUUGACUAUAAAAUAAAUUGAUACAUACAGUGUGGCUUUGUAUGUGUAUAUAACCACACAAGUUAAUUUUGCAUUCAGUUCAUGUGGCAAAAGGCAGCACUUUCCUUGAGAUAGUAACUCCUAGUAUAAAACUGUGAGACUUGUGGAACAGAUCCAUGAUAGUACAAAUUAAACGAAUAGCCUAGAUGGCAAAUAUGUGUGUAUAGUACAAUUGGUUUUAACUACUUGAUAAAAGUUUUAAAAAAAAUUAGAAUUAGAUUUUUGUAUGGUUGUUACGAAAUAAUUAUAAGGAAGUUGAGUGGACGUACGUCAUUUAAUAAUUGCAAAUAUUUCUUUUUGUGAAUACAUCGGAUAAAUCUGUUCUCUAGGGCAUCAUGCAUACAAGGAACAAUAGUCUGGGUCUACAUCUAAAAGCUUUCAACC